GUGGGGAAUAUUCCGCAAUGGACGAAAGUCUGACGGAGCAACGCCGCGUGAGUGAUGAAGGUUUUCGGACUGUAAAGCUCUGUUGUUUAGGACGAAAGUGCCUGUUGCAAAUAGUUACAGGUAUUGACGGUACUGAACGAGGAAGCCACGGCUAACUACGUGCCAGCAGCCGCGGUAAUACGUAGGUGGCAAGCGUUGUCCGGAAUUAUUGGGCAUAAAGAGCAUGUAGGCGGGAAUCUAAGUCUGUUGUGAAAAUGCGGGGCUCAACCCCGUAUUGCGAUGGAAACUGGGUUUCUUGAGUGCAGGAGAGGAAAGGGGAAUUCCCAGUGUAGCGGUGAAAUGCGUAGAUAUUGGGAGGAACACCAGUGGCGAAGGCGCCUUUCUGGACUGUGUCUGACGCUGAGAUGCGAAAGCCAGGGUAGCGAACGGGAUUAGAAACCCUGGUAGUCC
rnacentral:rRNA from 1 species